rnacentral:lncRNA from 1 species
UUUAUCUCAAGCGUUUUCAAUUCAUCUUCACUGCUCUAUGCACACAGGAACACCAGAUUGCCAUCCCUGGGGAACAGAAUGCAACCGGGGAUCUAGAGAGCUGUCACAUUCCAAGAAAUAUUUAAAUUGUGCUGAUUUUCUUCUGGAGAACUGAGCCCAGGGAAUGAAACUCUCCAUCAAGUCAUAGCUUUGCAGGCAAUAGAUCAGAGGAUAUUGCCAGUUUUCUAAUGGAUUAUUGUUAUCGGGCAGGUUUUCUCUGAAGCUUCUCAGCUGCUGUUACAUCCUUCUUGGAUGGAUCCUGAGAUACAAUUGGAAUAGACAGAAGAUGAUUCUGUACCCAGCCCUCCAUGAAUUCAACUUCUA